rnacentral:rRNA from 1 species
AAAACUCUGUUGUUAAAGAAGAACAUAUCUGAGAGUAACUGUUCAGGUAUUGACGGUAUUUAACCAGAAAGCCACGGCUAACUACGUGCCAGCAGCCGCGGUAAUACGUAGGUGGCAAGCGUUGUCCGGAUUUAUUGGGCGUAAAGCGAGCGCAGGCGGUUUUUUAAGUCUGAUGUGAAAGCCUUCGGCUCAACCGAAGAAGUGCAUCGGAAACUGGGAAACUUGAGUGCAGAAGAGGACAGUGGAACUCCAUGUGUAGCGGUGAAAUGCGUAGAUAUAUGGAAGAACACCAGUGGCGAAGGCGGCUGUCUGGUCUGUAACUGACGCUGAGGCUCGAAAGUAUGGGUAGCAAACAGGAUUAGAUACCCUGGUAGUCCAUACCGUAAACGAUGAAUGCUAAGUGUUGGAGGGUUUCCGCCCUUCAGUGCUGCAGCUAACGCAUUAAGCAUUCCGCCUGGGGAGUACGGCCGCAAGGCUGAAACUCAAAGGAAUUGACGGGGGCCCGCACAAGCGGUGGAGCAUGUGGUUUAAUUCGAAGCUACGCGAAGAACCUUACCAGGUCUUGACAUACUAUGCAAAUCUAAGAGAUUAGACGUUCCCUUCGGGGACAUGGAUACAGGUGGUGCAUGGUUGUCGUCAGCUCGUGUCGUGAGAUGUUGGGUUAAGUCCCGCAACGAGCGCAACCCUUAUUAUCAGUUGCCAGCAUUAAGUUGGGCACUCUGGUGAGACUGCCGGUGACAAACCGGAGGAAGGUGGGGAUGACGUCAAAUCAUCAUGCCCCUUAUGACCUGGGCUACACACGUGCUACAAUGGAUGGUACAACGAGUUGCGAACUCGCGAGAGUAAGCUAAUCUCUUAAAGCCAUUCUCAGUUCGGAUUGUAGGCUGCAACUCGCCUACAUGAAGUCGGAAUCGCUAGUAAUCGCGGAUCAGCAUGCCGCGGUGAAUACGUUCCCGGGCCUUGUACACACCGCCCGUCACACC